rnacentral:misc_RNA from 1 species
UAACCACUCAAGCCUCGGCUUGGUCUUGGGGUUCGCGGUCUCGCGGCCCUUAAAAUCAGUGGCGGUGCCGUCUGGCUCUAAGCGUAGUAAUUUUCUCGCUAUAGGGUCUAGGCGACCACCUGCCAAAAUCCCCCAUUCUUUAC